UGUACAAUAAGCCAUGUUCAGCAUAACUGUUGGUGGUUGAUUCUCGAGUUUUGCCUCAGAAGAUCAGCGCUCCCUAAAUGGCCACAAGAUGCCUCCCAGCAAAUCAAAGUUGUACAAUGAGAUGUCAGCCAAGGAAUCCAUGAAAGAAAAAGAGCAAGGGAUUCAGAUCUAUUUAAAAAGAAACAAAACAACAAAGCAUCAGAUCUGAGUGCUAAGUCAAAACUUGGAUUGCAUGAGAAAUGCUUUUUUAAGGCAGCAGUAGAACAUACUUCAUUGGUGAGAAGUACUCAAGGGCCUCCUUGUAAUGACUGUUCAACGUUCCUUCCAAAGUCCAGAAUGUCAUUUUUAGGUACUUUGUUUUGUACAGCAAUCUAGUGACCGUACAGUUACCUGUGUUCUGCUAAUGAGACAUGUAGCUGUUUGCACCAACAAGAUUAAAUGUACAGUGCCAAAUUUUUCCCUAGAUUUCUUGUGGUAUGGAUCAGAACUCUGUUGAUACUGCUUUCCUUUCUUAAAGUGUAUAUUCUUCAGCCAGGAAGUCCAUGAACAUGCUCCUGUUAAGGAGCUAAUCCUCUGUCUCUACUCCUGACAGGGCUUUUCAGUUUUAUCAUAAACUGACAAUAUGUAAGACAAUGCUGAAGCUGCAUCUCCUUUGACUUUCUGUAGCAUGCAAACCUGCCAGUCUCAGCAGUGCUUUCUAUUAAGUGCCAAUUUGACCCAAGAUCUUGAAUAAA